CCUACGGGAGGCCGCAGUGGGGAAUAUUGCGCAAUGGGCGAAAGCCUGACGCAGCGACGCCGCGUGAGGGAUGAAGGUCUUCGGAUCUUAAACCUCUGUCAGCAGGGAAGAACGGUCACUGUGCUAUUCAGCUGUGCAUUGACGGUACCUGCACAGGAAGCACCGGCUAACUCCGUGCCAGCAGCCGCGGUAAUACGGAGGGUGCAAGCGUUAAUCGGAAUUACUGGGCGUAAAGCGCUCGUAGGCGGUAUGUCAAGUCAAGGGUGAAAUCCCCGCGCUCAACGUGGGAACUGCAUUUGAAACUGGCAACCUGGAGUGUGUGAGAGGAUAGUGGAAUUCCAGGUGUAGGAGUGAAAUCCGUAGAUAUCUGGAGGAACAUCAGUGGCGAAGGCGACCAUCUGGCACAUAACUGACGCUGAGGAGCGAAAGCGUGGGUAGCAAACAGGAUUAGAUACCCGGGUAGUC
rnacentral:rRNA from 1 species